GUGGUGUGACUGCGUACCUUUUGUAUAAUGGGUCAGCGACUUACAUUCAGUGGCGAGGUUAACCGAAUAGGGUAGCCGUAGAGAAAUCGAGUCCGAAUAGGGCGAAUCAGUCGCUGGGUGUAGACCCGAAACCAAGUGAUCUAUCCAUGGCCAGGAUGAAGGUGCCGUAACAGGUACUGGAGGUCCGAACCGACUAAUGUUGCAAAAU
rnacentral:rRNA from 1 species